UAUUGUUCAUGUAACACGUGGAUAACCUGCCCUAAGGAGGGGGAUAACCCCGGGAAACUGGGGAUAAUACCCUAUAGGUUACAUAUGCUGGAAUGUCUUUAACCCAAAGAUCCGGCGCUUUAGGAUGGAUCUGCGGCCGAUUAGGUAGUUGUUGGGGUAACGGCCCAACAAGCCAUUAAUCGGUACGGGUUGUGGGAGCAAGAGCCCGGAGAUGGAUUCUGAGACACGAAUCCAGGCCCUACGGGGCGCAGCAGGCGCGAAAACUUUACAAUGCGGGCAACCGUGAUAAGGGAACCUCGAGUGCCUGCACAUGCAGGCUGUUCCGUGUUUAAAACACUGCUGAAGAAAGGGCCGGGCAAGACCGGUGCCAGCAGCCGCGGUAAUACAAUAAAAA
rnacentral:rRNA from 1 species